UGAAGGUCCCAUGAUACCUCCUCCAGCUUGGAAAUCACAGCAGGUUUGGGAAAUGGACGUACUGCUCAAAGGGCCCGCUGAGCAGGGGACAGAUGUGGCCAUUCUGCCUUACUGAAGUAUAUGGCUAUAUCCUCGAACGUCACAGAGUCCUGAAACAAACCAAUUCUGUCGUCCCAGGGACAAUCCCACCAUCUACAAAAGGGCACGAGAGGCAAUAUCUGUUUCUAAGGUUGGGAAGAGACCCAGAAAGAAAAAUUCGGAACCCUGUCAGAGAUCACCAGUCCUGAAAUGUCAGAAGGCUGCUUGCUGUGGAUAGAGAAAUCCCAGGACAAGGGAAAGAGCUACAGUGACAAUCUCAGCCUGGACAAAGAAAGCUACAAUUUACCUGUGAUUUGGCUUCUGGAGACAUGGCCAUCAUCUGACCUGUGCUCUCCUCUUGAGGAACAGCAGGGAUUUGGGGAGUUGGAGGAACUAAAGAGAAAGAAAGGGGCAUGAGGGAGACCCUUGCCCAGGAAGUUCCCCCCCUUCCCCCCCCAUCCUUCCACUAACAACCCCAGCUCAACAGACACAAAAAGAAAUAGUCUUUCCCCAAGGUUUUAACUGUUUUGGAAUUAGAAAUUAGAAAACAGAAUCAGUUCUUAAGUUUUCCCUGUGUACAUGGCAAUGGUCACUAUACCAUGGAGGUGGGACAAUGGUUUGGAGUGUGAAUGAAGCCAGGGAGCAGAAAAAAAUGACCAACGCAGCUAGUAACUAACAAAGCUGAGACUCAGGCAUAAACCAAAACUCAGGUCUUUUCAACCAAACUGGUGCACAGAACUUACAAGUGGAAGAUCUAGAAAGAAUCCUUUCAAUUCUUUCCUUUUAAACUGAAGCCCACAAAAUUUAAGAGAUUUCCCCCAAAGUCACACAGGUAAUAGGUGAUGGGUCCAGAUCAAAGUCCAGGCCUUCUAGUGUGAUUCUGGGUCUCCAACAUAGUUGAAAUAACAUCCCACCCCACUCCCAAGAAGCUGAAAAGGAAUGAUGAUAAAAAAAGGUACAGGUAUACUUACCUUAGAAACUUCUCUAAAUCAAGAUUCUUCUCAAGGAAA